GCUACACCCUGCAAGAUCAUGAUCAUUAGCUGCACUUUACAGGAGAGGAAGCUGAGGCUCAGAGAAGCAAACUGCCCUCCUACUUAUGUUGAAGACUUUCCCAUCCUAUGAGCCCAGGUGGGAGAAGCUGAAAAUGGCAGAAGGUCACUUUUCCAGCUGCCCUGUGCCUGGUGAGCCUGUGAUACAGACCCCAUUGCUCAUAUAUCCACCCAGUUUGGUGCCAUAAGUGGUAGCACUUCAGGGCCAAGGAGUUUGAAGAAGUCCAAGGUAGAGCUUUCUGGAAAAUCCUCUGGAGAGGAUGAUCAGAAACCUUCUCCCACAUAAACAAAGAACCCAGGAAGAAGCUAAAAAUGGGCCAUGAGAUUGUCUUUAUUCAUCAAGCCUGAAGUUUUCUGACUCUAUCUUUCUUUUCCCGUGGCCACUGUUACCUCUCCAGACCAGACCCCACCACCUGAAUUCUGCCUGAGCCUCGACAGAUAUGUUCAACU
rnacentral:lncRNA from 1 species